rnacentral:tRNA from 1 species
GGGCUGGGGCUCAGUGGUAGAGCACUCGCCUCGCAUGUGUGAGGUCCUGGGUUUGAUCCUCACCAUCACA